rnacentral:tRNA from 1 species
GGCCCCAUCGUCUAGCGGUCAAGGAUUUCUGAAUUUCGAUCAGAAGACACGGGUUCGAGUCCCGUUGGGGCUAUCA